GAUGAACGCUGGCGGCGUGCCUAAUACAUGCAAGUCGAGCGAACAGACGAGGAGCUUGCUCCUCUGACGUUAGCGGCGGACGGGUGAGUAACACGUGGAUAACCUACCUAUAAGACUGGGAUAACUUCGGGAAACCGGAGCUAAUACCGGAUAAUAUAUUGAACCGCAUGGUUCAAUAGUGAAAGACGGUUUUGCUGUCUCGUAUAGAUGGAUCCGCGCCGCAUUAGGUAGUUGGUAAGGUAACGGCUUACCAAGGCAACGAGGCGUAGCCGACCUGAGAGGGUGAUCGGCCACCCUGGAACUGAGACACGGUCCAGACUCCUACGGGAGGCAGCAGUAGGGAAUCUUACGCAAUGGGCGAAAGCAUGACGGAGCAACGCCGCGUGAGUGAUGAAGGUCUUCGGAUCGUAAAACUCUGUUAUUAGGGAAGAACAAAUGUGUAAGUAAAUAUGCCCGUCUUGACGGUAACUAAUCAGAAAGCCACGGCUAACUACGUG
rnacentral:rRNA from 1 species